AAAUUGUGAUGUGGCUCAACAAGUCCUUUUACCUCUCCCAUGCAUCAUACAUGCUCUCAUCAUCAAACUGCAUAAAAGAAGAAAUAUCAUUAUACAUUU
rnacentral:snoRNA from 1 species